rnacentral:lncRNA from 1 species
UGGGGGGUGGUGAAGCAGUUGGUGGUGGCUGAGCCGGUGGUGUUUGGUUGUUAACUGGUGGAGGAGAACCAGUGGGUGUAGGUGGAGCUUGGGUAGCUGGUGUUGGAGGCGCUUGGGUAGUGGGUGUAGGUGGUGCUUGGUUAGUGGGUGUUGGAGGAGCCUGGUUAGUGGGUGUUGGUGGAGUCUGUGUAGGUGGUGCUUGAUUAGUAGGGGGUGCCUGUGUUGGUGGUGCCUGUGUAGGUGGUGCUUGGGUAGGGGGUGCCUGUGUUGGUGGUGCCUGCGUAGGUGGUGCUUGGUUAGUAGGGGGUGUCUGUGUUGGUGGUGCCUGUGUAGGUGGUGCUUGGGUAGGGGGUGUUGGAGGUGCUUGACCUCCAACCCCAGCGACGAUAAUGCAGAUCAUAAACCCCAACAAAACAGCAUUAUUCCUACCCAUCAUUUUGACAAUGGAGAGGAGGAAAUUAAAGGAAUGUGAAAGAAGAUAUCUGGUGCUGCUUGGGAAAAGAGAGGUUUGGGAAGGGAAUAUAUAAGAGAUUUUCUAAAAGAAGUAUGGUAUAUAUUUGAAGGUUGGAAAAGAAAGAGUAGAAAGGUGGCAAAUCCAAUUUGUAGUAACAGUGUGAGUUGUGACUACCAAAUACUUAUG